ACUCCUACGGGAGGCAGCAGUGGGGAAUAUUGCACAAUGGGGGAAACCCUGAUGCAGCCAUGCCGCGUGUGUGAAGAAGGCCUUCGGUUGUAAAGCACUUUCAGUAGGGAGGAAGGUAGUGUAGUUAACACCUGCAUUAUUUGACGUUACCUACAGAAGAAGCACCGGCUAACUCCGUGCCAGCAGCCGCGGUAAUACGGAGGGUGCGAGCGUUAAUCGGAAUUACUGGGCGUAAAGCGCAUGCAGGCGGCCUGUUAAGUCAGAUGUGAAAGCCCGGGGCUUAACCUCGGAAUUGCAUUUGAAACUGGCAGGCUAGAGUCUUGUAGAGGGGUUAGAAUUUCAGGUGUAGCGGUGAAAUGCGUAGAGAUCUGAAGGAAUACCAGUGGCGAAGGCGGCCCCUGGACAAAGCUGACGCUCAGAUGCGAAAGCGUGGGAGCAAACAGGAUUAGAUACCCCUGGUAGACUGUCA
rnacentral:rRNA from 1 species